UACGUAGGUGGCAAGCGUUGUCCGGAAUUAUUGGGCGUAAAGCGCGCGCAGGUGGUUUCUUAAGUCUGAUGUGAAAGCCCACGGCUCAACCGUGGAGGGUCAUUGGAAACUGGGGAACUUGAGUGCAGAAGAGGAAAGUGGAAUUCCAAGUGUAGCGGUGAAAUGCGUAGAGAUUUUGGAGGAACACCAGUGGCGAAAGGCGACUUUCUGGUCUGUAACUGACACUGAGGCGCGAAAAGCGUGGGGGAGCGAACAG
rnacentral:rRNA from 1 species